rnacentral:rRNA from 1 species
UACGGGGGAUGCGAGCGUUAUCCGGAUUUAUUGGGUUUAAAGGGUGCGCAGGCGGUCUGUUAAGUCAGCGGUCAAAGCCCGGGGCUCAACCCCGGCCCGCCGUUGAAACUGGGGAUCUAGAGUGUGCGAGAGGUAUGCGGAAUGCGUGGUGUAGCGGUGAAAUGCAUAGAUAUCACGCAGAACACCGAUUGCGAAGGCAGCUUACCAAGCUACUUCUGACGUUGAGGCACGAAAGCGUGGGGAGCAAACAGG